UACGAAGGGGGGCUAGCGUUGCUCGGAAUCACUGGGCGUAAAGCGCACGUAGGCGGCUUUCUAAGUCAGGGGUGAAAUCCUGGAGCUCAACUCCAGAACUGCCUUUGAUACUGGAAAGCUUGAGUUCGGGAGAGGGUGAGUGGAACUGCGGAGUGUAGAGGUGAAAUUCGUAGAUAUUCGCAAAGAACACCAGUGGCGAAGGCGGCUCACUGGCCCGAUACUGACGCUGAGGUGCGAAAGCGUGGGA
rnacentral:rRNA from 1 species